CGGAAGCGGAUCCCUUCUCCCCAAAACAGAAACUUGGCAGAAUCAGAGCCGUAGCUUAGCAAGAAACUUGGCUUCGUGGGACGUGGCACUUCCGAUACACUGGCGUGGGAAUGGAGAACUGCAAGUCUGCCUCCUUCGGCUCCCACACACAGAGCCAGCCACAAAGGGCAACGGCCACUCCGGGGUGAGGCGCUGAACCCCAGACAAGCCCUCCAUGGAGAGGCCACCACUCCACCACCCCGACCUCUGACAGCUGCAUCCCGAUCUCAAGAAGCAUGGAAUCUAGAUGCCUCGGGAAGGUUACGCCAGCAGCUUGAAUGUGGGCAGGAGAUUUAAAAAGAAGUUGGCGGCCUGGUUAAAAAGAAGUUGCCUCAGCUGCGAUGCGGGAGGCAGGUGGAUGAGGAGCCUGUGCUUGCCUUUGUCGAAUCCUCUUCAGUCCCUGUAUCUGGGAUGUGCAGCCCACCCCCACUUGGCCUCCCUAAC